GAUGACGUUCCUUCGGGGAUGGAUUAGUGGCGAACGGGUGAGGAACACGUGAAGAAUCUGCCCUCCACUUUGGGAUAACUCCGGGAAACCGGGGCUAAUACCGAAUAUUGAAACAUAAGCGGCAUCGCUGAGUUUUGAAAGAAUUUCGGUGGAGGAUGACUUCGCGGCCUAUCAGCUUGUUGGUGAGGUAAUGGCUCACCAAGGCAACGACGGGUAGCCGGCCUGAGAGGGCGACCGGCCACACUGGGACUGAGACACGGCCCAGACUCCUACGGGAGGCAGCAGUGGGGAAUAUUGGGCAAUGGACGCAAGUCUGACCCAGCGACGCCGCGUGCGGGAUGAAGGCCUUCGGGUUGUAAACCGCUUUCAGCAGGGAAGAAGCGAAAGUGACGGUACCUGCAAAAGAAGCACCGGCUAACUAUGUGUCCGUGUCUGUG
rnacentral:rRNA from 1 species